rnacentral:tRNA from 2 species
GCCCAGGUGGCGGAACUGGCAGACGCGCUACCUUGAGGUGGUAGUCCUGGAAACAGGGUGGAGGUUCGAGUCCUCUCCUGGGCA